rnacentral:rRNA from 1 species
UACCAGCACCCCGAGUGGUCGGGACGAUUAUUGGGCCUAAAGCAUCCGUAGCCGGUUCUACAAGUCUUCCGUUAAAUCCACCUGCUUAACAGAUGGGCUGCGGAGGAUACUAUGGAGCUAGGAGGCGGGAGAGGCAAGCGGUACUUAGUGGGUAGGGUAAAUCCGUUGAUCCAUUGAAGACCACCAGUGGCGAAGGCGGCUUGCCAGAACC